UACAGAGGGUGCGAGCGUUAAUCGGAAUUACUGGGCGUAAAGCGUGCGUAGGCGGUUAUUUAAGUCGGAUGUGAAAGCCCCGGGCUCAACCUGGGAAUUGCAUUCGAGACUGAAUAGCUAGGGUGCGGUAGAGGGAAGCGGAAUUUCCGGUGUAGCGGUGAAAUGCGUAGAUAUCGGAAGGAACAUCAGUGGCGAAAGCGGCUUCCUGGGCCAGCACCGACGUUCAGGCACGAAAGCGUGGGGAGCAAACAGG
rnacentral:rRNA from 1 species